AGGGGUUUGUUCCUGGGCUCAGGAUGAACGCUGGCGGCGUGCUUAACACAUGCAAGUCGAACGGGAUCCUGCGGGCUUUGCUUGCGGGUGAGAGUGGCGAACGGGUGAGUAAUGCGUGACCAACCUGCCCCAUGCUCCGGAAUAGCUCCUGGAAACGGGUGGUAAUGCCGGAUGUGCCGGGCUCCUGCAUGGGGGUCCGGGAAAGCUCUGGCGGCGUGGGAUGGGGUCGCGUCCUAUCAGCUUGUUGGCGGGGUGAGGGCCCACCAAGGCUUCGACGGGUAGCCGGCCUGAGAGGGCGACCGGCCACAUUGGGACUGAGAUACGGCCCAGACUCCUACGGGAGGCAGCAGUGGGGAAUAUUGCACAAUGGGCGCAAGCCUGAUGCAGCGACGCCGCGUGCGGGAUGGAGGCCUUCGGGUUGUAAACCGCUUUUGUUUGGGAGCAAGCCCUUCGGGGUAAGUGUACCUUUCGAAUAAGCACCGGCUAACUACGUGCCAGCAGCCGCGGUAAUACGUAGGGUGCGAGCGUUAUCCGGAUUUAUUGGGCGUAAAGGGCUCGUAGGCGGUUCGUCGCGUCCGGUGUGAAAGUCCAUCGCCUAACGGUGGNAUCUGCGCCGGGUACGGGCGGGCUGGAGUGCGGUAGGGGAGACUGGAAUUCCCGGUGUAACGGUGGAAUGUGUAGAUAUCGGGAAGAACACCAAUGGCGAAGGCAGGUCUCUGGGCCGUUACUGACGCUGAGGAGCGAAAGCGUG
rnacentral:rRNA from 1 species